AUGGGCGACUUGGACUCAAAUCCUAGCUUCAUUACUUAUGAAACUUCUUUGUACCUCAAUUUCUUCACUGUGAAGUGGGUCUAAUUGAGGGUUCCUUCCACAAAACAUGCUUUAGGAUCCUUUGUAUUGAACGUACAAAAUAUCUACAUCAGCCUGCAUGAGUAACAAGGAAAUAUAUUGGCUAAAGCUCCUCUGAAGUCUCGAGAGAUUAUGUCUCCACUCACAAUGUUCUCUUCCUGGUGUCAUCCUCUAGGUAUCAGUCUCACUUGCAAAGUCAGCUAAGGAGCCUGCUCUUAAAGUAUACACUCAUCGCCUGAUCAGUGUGGAUUUAUCACUGGCCUGGAAAUGUACACUGAGAAUUUCCAAUUUUGCUCAUAAAUAACUACUUUAUGGAGACUACUUUAUGGAAAGGAUUGACCAUAAAUAUCACAGCAGUAAUGAGAAAUUUUGAGUCACCACCAUUGUUUGAUUGGGUUACCAUGAACCAGCAUUUCUCUUCUGACUUCCACUUCCUCCCAAACCUUCUGGUGAAGUCCAGCUCCUGCCCGUUCUUGGAAAUGGAAUUUUUUAUAUAGCCCUUACCAUUAAUUCACAUACUGUGUAUGGCUGCUUUUGUGCUACAGUAACAGUAACUAGGCAGCGUAUUUAAAACAUCAACCAUAUAGCUGAAAAGCUGAAAAUAUUUACCAUCUGGUUCAUUACAGUAAAAAUAAUUUGUCACACUCA